CAGUCGACGAGAGGACAUGGGAAGCUUGCUUCCUAUGAAAUCGAGUGGCAAACGGGUGAGUAACGCGUAAACAACCUGCCCUUCGGAUGGGGAUAACAGCCGGAAACGGCUGCUAAUACCGAAUACGAUCUUUUCGUCGCAUGACGGAAAGAAGAAAGGAUGGCCUCUAUACAAAGCUAUCGCCGAAGGAGGGGUUUGCGUCUGAUUAGCUGGUUGGAGGGGUAACGGCCCAACAAGGCGAUGAUCAGUAGCCGGUCUGAGAGGAUGAACGGCCACAUUGGGACUGAGACACGGCCCAGACUCCUACGGGAGGCAGCAGUGGGGAAUCUUCCGCAAUGGACGAAAGUCUGACGGAGCAACGCCGCGUGAGUGAAGAAGGUCUUCGGAUUGUAAAACUCUGUUAUACGGGACGAAAAAGGCGGAUGCCAACAGUAUCCGUCCGUGACGGUACCGUAAGAGAAAGCCACGGCUAACUACGUGCCAGCAGCCGCGGUAAUACGUAGGUGGCAAGCGUUGUCCGGAAUUAUUGGGCGUAAAGGGCGCGCAGGCGGUUCGGUAAGUCUGUCUUAAAAGUGCGGGGCUUAACCCCGUGAGGGGACGGAAACUGUCGAACUUGAGUGUCGGAGAGGAAAGCGGAAUUCCUAGUGUAGCGGUGAAAUGCGUAGAUAUUAGGAGGAACACCGGUGGCGAAAGCGGCUUUCUGGACGACAACUGACGCUGAGGCNNNAAAGCGUGGGGAGCAAA
rnacentral:rRNA from 1 species